AUUGCCUCAGUAACGGCGAGUGAAGCGGCAACAGCUCAAAUUUGAAAUCUGGCUCCUUCGGGGCCCGAGUUGUAAUUUGCAGAGGAUGCGUCGGGUACGGGUGCCUUCCGAGUUCCCUGGAACGGGACGCCAUAGAGGGUGAGAGCCCCGUCUGGUAGGACACCCAGCCCGUGUGACGCUCCCUCGACGAGUCGAGUAGUUUGGGAAUGCUGCUCUAACGGGAGGUAUACUCCUUCCAAGGCUAAAUACCGGCUGGAGACCGAUAGCGCACAAGUAGAGUGAUCGAAAGAUGAAAAGCACUUUGAAAAGAGAGUCAAACAGCACGUGAAAUUGUUAAAAGGGAAGCGCUCGCUACCAGACUUGGGUUCGGCGGUUCAACCGGGGCCACGCCCCGGGGCAUUCCGCCGGCCCAGGCCAGCAUCAGCUUUCCGUCGGGGGUAAAGGCGUCGGGAAUGUGGCUCCCCUUCGGGGGAGUGUUAUAGCCCGUCGUGUCAUACCCUUCGGGGGGCUGAGGUACGCGCUUCUGCAAGGAUGCUGGCGUAAUGGUAGCUAGUGACCCGUCUUGAAACACGGACCAAGGAGUCAACCUUAUGUGCGAGUGCCCGGGCGUAAAACCCCAGCGCGGAAUGAAAGUGAACGUAGGUGAGAGCUUCGGCGCAUCACCGACCGAUCCUGAUGUCCUCGGACGGAUUUGAGUGAGAGCAUAUAGGGUUGGACCCGAAAGAAGAUGAACUAUGCGUGUGUAGGGUGAAGCCAGAGGAAACUCUGGUGGAGGCUCGCAGCGGUUCUGACGUGCAAAUCGAUCGUCAAA
rnacentral:rRNA from 1 species